GACCAGCAGUAAGUUACUGUAAAACCUACAGUGUAAUUCAGUAUUUUUCAGACUUGUUUCUUGGGUCCGCCCACAAUUCGUCCAACCGAGCUUCAUUUCACCUGGCCGACCCUGCUAAAUCCAUCCUACUGCAUCGUGUGUUUUUGAUAACAAGUUGCUGGUGACAAAGUCACAAUAAAACGUUGGAUGAUCAGCAUGGAAGGUGAUGUCAUCUGCAAAGGCGUCCAACCUAGCUUAAUCUCAGGGCUUGCUGCCCUUCUUGCCACCUACUAUGUGUUCAACUUGGAAUACCAAGAGGAAGGUCCUCGGACAUUGGAAUUUGUUCAAAGGGACCGAAGCACCAGUUUGACUCUAGGAUACAGAGAAGGUAGGUAAUGUGCAGGUAAAGAUAUGUUGACUGGGUCAAAAAAGGAAGCACCUGUUUGACCCCAGGAUGCAGAAAAAGUAGGUAAUUUGCAGGUAAAGAUAUGUUGACUGGAUGAUGGCAGGAAGCACCAGCUUGACCCGAGAAUGCAGAGCAAGUAGGUAAUGUGCGGGUGAAGAUAUGUUGAAUGGGUAAAGGCAGGAAGCACCAGUGUGACCCCACCAUGCAGGGAAGG